AAAUAUACAAUUUAAUAGGCUUUGCCGUCAGUCUUACCCGAGUAACAUGGUCGUAUCCGCGCUAAACUCCGUACCCCAGAGGUUGAAAGUCGAACAACGGCUCUGAACAUCUUGCCGACCGGUAAGAAUCAGUGGCUAAUGGUGUCGUAUGCUAAGGAACCGAUUCAGAGGGACAUCGAAAAGGGAAGCACUUGCGUCUGCGCAAAACCGCAGUGGCUACGUGCUAGGAGACAACCGCGCGACUGAGAGUGAGGCAAUAAUUUCUACCUACGGGGGAAGGGUGGCCAGCCACACAGGAGGGGGAUUUUUACUAAGGAGGAGAAGGAGGCCGUGCUGACAGAGAUGCAUGCUGGACAUUUUGGAGUGAAGCGCAUGAAUUCCAAAAUCAACCUACGCUUCUUCUGACAGGGAAUUGUCAAGGAGGUGGACAGCUGGGCAAGUGAAAUAACCUUUUAUUUAUCAAUCACAUUCUAUUAUAUCUGAAAUUAUUAUGAUUUCAAUUGUCAAAUCAGAGAGCACAACAAGGUCAGUACCCUGUCUAGCAUGCCAGAAGUUUGAGAAGGCAAAGACUGGCACCGGAGUUGAAGCCCGUCAAAGUUGUUUCACCAUGGCACAUGAUCGGUAAGUGUUCAAAUUAAAAUGUUGCCCUGAUAAGUUGUUUUGUAAUGGUUUCUUUAGUUUACAGUUCAAUAUUAUAGAAUGUGUGUGUCAGUAUCCUUACAAUCACAAACAUCUGCACACUGUAUGACAGAUACGGGUAAGAAAAAGGUCAUCUUCUCUCUAACAUUUUAAAUGUUAGGGGUGGACCUCAUCAGAUCCUUCACGAAAUCCAGGAGUGGCAACAGCCACUGGUGUCUGACGGUAACCGAUCACUUUACCAAGUCGGUGGAAGCAAUACCCAUUACGGAUGAGACUAGCGAGGCCACCUCCAAGGCGAUGGUGGACUAUCUUCAACACCCACGGUUCUCCUGAGGUCAUGACCUUGUUCAUGAACGGUGGAACAAGGUUUGGUAAAUGGACCAACCAGACCCUCAAGACUGCCAUGGGCAAGUCCCUUGAUACCAGGAAGGGUGGGAGAACAACCUGAAGGUAAUUCUCUUUGCACACAACAGCAGACGGGAGCCGCAGCAGUUGUCUGAGAUCACUGAACCCCACCUGAUGUGGUGGAAGUUGUGGAACCAGAUCAGAACGCCUUUGAGGGCCACCUUCAAGCACGGACUGAGAAGGAUGUGGAGGUUUUUGACCAGCAGCUAGAGGUUCUGCCCAACACCCAGAUGUGGAUCCACCUGAUGUCCUCCAUUACCAACCAUCUUCCAACUUUUCAUUACAUCAUCUACACUGUUGUUGUCAUUAUCUGCUAAGAAAAUGUCCUUGCUCUAUCAUACUGGACACAUAAUAUGUGAGAUACACAGAUGAACUAAAAACACUAGCACUGUAAACACUCAACAAAGAGAGCAGCAGUGCCUGGACUUUGCAGUCUCCCUCUUCAAGUCCCCCUUCUGAGACUGGCUGCCUGUUGAGAACAAGUGACAGGCAGAUUUCCACAAACCAGAAUUCAGUAUUUUAGUCUAUGAUUGCUAUGUAAGUGUACAGAAAAUCAGUGAAAAUAAAUUGACACAACUGUACCAAAAAC